AUAACUUGCAAUAAUAAUAGUAAUAAAAUUGGACACAAUAAUAGUAAUAAUAGCAAUAAAGACGGCAGUGAUAGAUCAACAAAAGGACGAGAUGGUUUGGCUGCAGUUAAUGAAGUUGAUGUCUUGGCGGAAUUAGUUCCACCACCACCAGAAUUUGCUGCACCUCCGCCUCAACCAAUGGACUCUCGACCAGGAGCGAUUAAAAUUCAAGUUGGCGGACCAAAGCAGCCUCAAAAACAACAACAACAACAACAACCGGUUUCUAACCAUCAACCUCAGCUGACAACUGUUCAUCAUCAGCAGCACCACCAACAACAACAACAGCACCAACAACAUCAUCACCAUCAUGGGCAACAAACUCAUAGUAAAAUGGUAACCACUCUUCCAGCCACCCAAGGAGCACCCGUUAAUACGGUGAUUAGUGGAGUUGGUAUUAAGGCUGUUCAACAACAGGUACAACAGCCAAUAAAUAAUCAGCGAAAAGAAGAGAUUCGGAUUAU
rnacentral:lncRNA from 1 species